ACUCGCGGCGAUCAGUUCCGGAAGCAGGAAGAAAAAGAGCAAAACGGCAAUGCUUGUCUUUUAUUAUUCUUGUCUAAGAGUCCCGGGUGUGUGUGUGUGUGUGUGUGCAGCGAUUGCAGCAGAUUGAAGAAGAGCUGAAAUGCUUCUACCUUUUGCAGAAAGAUUUAUGCUCAGAUGUCUUGAGAGGAAUUGCCUUCCAGUUGAGACCAUUUUUUGCAGCAGCGGUGCCUAGUUUGACUCCAGGUUCUGCGUUUAAAAUGGGCAAUGCUGCAUUUCUCUUCUUGGGCUUAGGGCAUGUUGGAUGACACCCCCCCCCAAUAGUGAUUGUGAAAACAUGAAGGGUAACGCUGUUUGUUUGUUGUGUAAAGCCCAACAGCACAGUCGAUUCAUAGGACUGCAUAAUGGCAGAUAACUUACAUGCAUCUGCCCUGUAAACGGGCUACCUUUUUUUACAUGUAUACAUUUUAAAAAAUGUAAAGUAGCACUAAAGACCAAAAGGUUAAGGGGUUUGUUUUGGUCUGGAUGGCACCUAAUUUCUUGUGUGUGGAAAUGCAGGACUCUUGAUUUGCCCUCUUUAAAGGUUCAGCUAAGCUUCAAGGUCACUUAACUAAGUUCUGAGAAAUUGAAACAUGUUGCUUUUAUGUUGGAACCAGCCCUUCUUCCCGCCUGCUUUUUUUUGCCCAGCUGGUACCUUUUGAAUCUACCAAAGACUGGCCUUUGAAACAGUGUCUGUGAAUGUCAUGGCAUGAAGUUACUUUGGAACACCACCCCUGUGUCCAUGUUGGAAUGUGUUCAAUACGAGUCAUAUUGGCAAUUGGCUGGCUCGCCCCUGAUUUUUCCAGGGUUAAUUUAGCUACCGUUGCUGAAGAUGGAUUUAUCAAGGAAUGGCAUCCUUCGGAAUUCCCCCCUCCCCAUCCACACGGACGUUACCUGCAUCUUUGCGAGACUGGAGAGCACCUUUUAGCAGCGGUCCUGUUGCAAAAGACUCUUCUCAGAGGGAGAAACGGAGGAGACUGCCUUCGGAGCAGCGUCCUAACUGCUGUGCUUUCGGAACUUGAUCAUUUCAACAGUUUAUGCUUGGACGAUAAUAGAGAAGGAAUCUUACAACUGGCAUUUCCACAAGAAAUGGGAGAGAAAUUGCUAAGUCUCUUCAAAUGGGGAGAUCUACAACAGGCGAAUACAAUCUAAAACGUGCGACCCAGUUGUGAUGCAACGAAGAUCACCGCUGCCAGACAUAGCAAGACAAAGAGGCUACUCCUUUCAUCGCUGGCAAGUUCCUUCCGCUCAUCCAUCCUGGAUCUUCAGUCUGAGUGAUGAAAGAAGCCAGACGCGAACGACUGUCACAAAAUUUCAGUUUCUUUUUGCCCAGUUCUCAAGAGCAAUUGAAGCCCACUGGUUCCAUCGACAAAGCUUUAAUGCAGACCUUAACCCUAAAGGGUUAACUGCACCUUGAAAAAAUCAGCUUUGGCUCUUGCCUUUGGUAACCACACAACUCUUUCCCCCGCGGAUCAUGUUGAAGUGACACUUGCCAAACUUACCGAAGGUACUUUGAUACUGUAGCUUGGAAUUGCAUUUCCACAGCAAAAUCUGAAAUCGGAGAAAUGUUCUAAGACCAGGCAAAAGUUUUAAGUUGGAGCCCUCUGGGAAACUGGUACCGUUAUAACAAGCAAUGUUUUGUAAAAUGUUGCAUGUUUUCUAAUCUAUUUUGUGUUUGUACAGAUGUAAAUUCAAAACCUCAUGUCCUUGGGUACAUAUUUUCAGCAUAAUAUAGUAUGUAUAAUAAAGUUCAGAUUUUUCUAA